CUAGAUCUUUCUUGUGCAUGUAUGUAGGCCUUUGUUCGCUUAAUACAAAACAUGAUUUCUUUCGGCUAAAGCUCUAAACAUGUGGUGGAUACUUUCAAUAGCUAUAGGCUUAGUACAAUGGCAAGAUUUUUGUAACAUUAAUAACUACACUCCUCAAUGUCAAUACGCCUGUCGUUGUAAUGGAUCAUGUGACUCUAUUGGGAACUGUCUUGGAUCAUCCUGCAGUGACGGAUGGUUCGGCACCGCAUGUCAGUACUCUGAUGUAACAAACAACGCAAUGAUAUUACCUAAAAGUGCAGAAACGUUGAGAGCGAACUCAUCAAGACAAGAUUGUGGUCAGCGAGUGGGUCCUCAUUUUGUUAUAUUAACUUGGAAUUUAGCACUGCCAUUUACCUGGUUAAGAAUAAAAAUAAGAAAUAAAAGUA
rnacentral:sRNA from 1 species